GCUUGCUUAUUUGCCUCAUAAGCUGUUCCUCCAAACCCCUGUCAAACUUGGCCGCCCCCUCUAUCUCCUGCCAUGGCCGCUGCCGUCACUUUCGCCGCCCCCGCUCUCCCCUCCCUCCACUCCUCGUCCUGUUCUCUACCUCCUCUCACUCACCGCUCUCUCUCCUUCGUCGCCUUUACCUCCCCGACCAUCACUAAGCUCUCCUUUCAUCGUUCCUCGAGACGCUUCUCUUCUGCUCCCUCCACUUCCGUCUUCUCCAUCAAAGCUGCCGCUGCUGCCGCCGACAAGAAGCGGGUCCUCGUCGUCAACACUAACAGCGGCGGGCACG
rnacentral:lncRNA from 1 species